CCUUGCCAUCAGGGAGUUGACCUCAUUUUUUUUACUUACCCUUAGUAAUUGACUGCAGAGCCAUGUCUGAGCCUCUUCAGAAUCAUCUCGGACUCCUCCUCUUGUGUGCUCCCAUGACUGGACUGAAGACACAGUGGUUGGCUUCUCAGUCAGAAGAAAUGGAUCCUGGCCCAGGCACUGCUCCAGGACAUUUCUCCCUAGCCGCAAAGAAGAUGCUGUAGACCAAUGUAUCCUAAUCCCUAGAAGGUCUCUGCCUUCAAAAUCUGUCCAGUAAGAGGAAAAGUCAAGCUGGUGAGUUUAUUCUAAUCUGAUGAUACAAGGCAACUAGUUGAAAAUGUGGCUUAUAUUCCCACCUUUCCAUACCAACAUUAUGAGACUUGGCCAUUGAAACUAUUGGCUAUAUGUAGGUUUGUGUUAGCUAGCUACUUACUUAGAUCACUAUGGUCCAGCAACAUGAAGAGAGCACCUACAUUUUGUGUUGGGUGGAUUCUUAGUAAGCUACAUGAAAACAGGUAUUGCUUAUCUUAUAGUUCCAUGUUUGCUCAGGAUGUUGAAGGUAGAUGUUCCCUAAUGUCAUGGAUGAAUGAAUUUCUACAUCUUUGGCCUCAGACUAUGGCAGACAUAGUUCCCAGGAGUGACAGGACAAAGUGUAUGCUCCAAACUGAUAUUUCCUGUCUGAGUGUUGCUUUUCUCACGUGGAGAAAAGAAAAUAUAUGCUACCAUGAAGCUAUAGCCCAGGCCCCCAGUCAAUCCCCUCAACCAUCAAGUCAGUCCUUCCUCUUAUUCUGCCCUGCUCUUUCCACCACUUCUUUGUCUUAACUGGGCAAUUGAGCUUUAUAGCAUAGUACCAGGCAAUGACUCAGGCCACUGACUCCUGAAAGUACACCUGUCACCUGUUUUGUGGAAUGAGAGGAUUGACAGAACCAAGAAAGAACAUGAGAAUACAACUCAUUUAACAACUUCAUAACAAAAUGGAUCUUAGUUUUCAUAUAUUUUUUUUUAUCACCCAAAUGUUAUGCAAUUAAAAUCAAGGCUCUGGCUUGUUCCUUCUUUCAAGACUGAGCCGUUUUGCCUCUAGCCAACUGGGUAGUGCUUUGUUCAGGUAUAAUUUGGUGAUUUUGUUUUAUUUGAUAUAAAACCUCUGUUCCACAUGUUUUUUUUCCCUCAGAGAUACAUAGCUUAUGAGGUGAUAUGGCUUUAGUUAUAGAUGGUUUAUUGAGGUUGGGAGAUACAGAUUAUAGGGGUAGACCAGAUGUCCAAAUAGGAGAUUGGUUCCUCAAGAUAUUUAAACAUUGGGAAUAAGAGACCUACUAAAAAAUAUUAGGAGAAGGGAUUUCUGACCUUUUGACAAAGCAGUAGGCUUGGUCCUGCUGUGUCCACAGCUGAACCCUCAGGUACCUGGCUAGUGUUGAGUUGUGCUACUACGGCUUGCUUGUCUUCUGCACAUUGUUCACCACCAUGCUUGAACUCUUAGCCUUCCUAUGGCUUCUGGGAUGAAAGCAGGCAUCCUCUCCAUGGCCCACAGGCCUGGGCAGCUUAACUCAUGCCUUCCUGUCUGACUUCAUCUUGUUUCUUAUAGGAAUAGAAAAUGUGCAUCCUGGGCUAACCUGGUGUCAGAUCCCCCUUCUCUAUAACAGUACCAAGGGAAGGUGCUGUUGUUGUCCUCUUAUAGGGGAAGGAACAGAGGGACAAAGAAGUCCCAUCACGUGUCCAAGAGCAAAUGGUUAAGACAGGAUUCACACCCAAGCAGCCAGUCCCUCACAGACCUUGUCCUUCACUCUGCCUUCAAGUGCUAAGGUCCCCUUCAGCAAGGCUGUUUGCUCCUGCUCCCUACCCCACGAGAUUUUCUCCCAGUGUCCUUCAUCCUUUGGCUCUACCUCAAGUGCAUCUUCCUCAGGGAGAUUUACUGGUGUUCAAACUUCUGGAUCACAAGGUUAGGUGAUCUCAAGUGGUACCCUCCGAUGGGAACAUCUGUGACAAGGGAACACUGCCCUUGCACCAUGCAGUGGGGAGGCUGCCAGUGAUACAUGCUGCACUUGGCUUGUGUGAAUGUAGAGUGGAAUUGUUCAUUUUGUUUAAUUUUAAUAAAUUAUGGGUUAAAUCAGUGCAGCUGUGAAGUGUUCGACUGUUUGGGAUUAUAUUCCCUGGGGAGCUCCUGUUGCAAGGGUAGACACAGUUGCUGCUGUCACACCAUCUUUCACUCCUUCCUCUGUGCCUGUCCCAUCCUGAAUGAAGAAGUCACUUUGCCUUGUCUCCAUCAGAGAACAGCGAGGACAGGGGCCAUCUGAAAUCUUAGGAUAGGAGGUGAUUAUUAGCAGCAUGGUCACUGGCAUCAAAGCUGUGUAUGAACCCAGCUCUGCAAGUUGCCCUCGGGUUUCCCACUGGGGAAAGGGAGAGUUUCUACCUAAGAGAAUUGCUCCGCAGAAUGAAUGAAGGGAGCUCAGAAGGUAAAGUGCUCAUUCAGCAAACAUGAGGACCAGAGUUUGAAUCCCAGAACAGGUAAAAAGAGGCAAGAGGUGGCAGUGUUUGCUUGUAAUCCCAGAGCUGGGAGAUGGAGAUGGGAGGAUGCUGGGCUGCUUGCCCCUUUAAGCCUAGUGAAUUAGUGAAUUCCAGGCUAGUGAGAUGCUGGCUACUGAAGUGUGACAGUGGAGGUUGUCCUGUGGCCUCUACCAUCUCUCUCUCUCUCUCUCUCUCUCUCUCUCUCUCUCUCUCUCUCUCUCUCACACACACACACACACACACACACACACACACACACAAUGGUGGAAACUUCUGAAGUGGUUUCCAUUUCUUAUAGCAGUUUCCCACGUAGUGUUUUAUAGCCCUCCCAAUAGGCUGAGAGUAGGGUGGGGGGUGGAGGGAAGUGUGGUGGGAUGGGGGGAGGCUGAGCCUGGUGCAGCAGACAGACCCCUCCUCCACCCAGGCUCAGAAGCCUGGAACAAGCUCAGUGCCAGGUGUUCCUGAAUAGCUCUGGUGACCCCACUGAGGCCUACGACCUUUCAUGGACUCAGUGGGUCACAUAAGCCUGUCUGGCUUGAUGAGGUCAGCCUUUCUUGCCUUAGUCAGGGCGGCCUGCAUUCACACUUUGAGGGAUUUAGACUCUGAGGCCUGAAGGAGAGUGAAGAGGUUUGGGUGGGGGUAGGCAAGAAGAAGCUUUGUGGAGAGGGGCCAUCUCUGUCUGGAAUUCGGAUAACUAACAUUUAGCAAGUUUCUGAAACGUGCCAUGUACUAUUUAAAUCACUUCAUCAUUCAAAAUAACAUUUAUGGUCUAAUCCUAUUUGACAGAUGAAGAAACUGAAGAACAGAAAGGUUAGGUAACUUUCUUAUCAUCACACAGGAAGCGGGAGAAUCAGAAUUCCUGCCCAGAUAGGUGAACUUCCUAACCUCAAUCUUCACGGAAUGAUAAAGUCUGAUUGUUUUAUUGUGGAGGACUGGUUGGCACCCUGAGCUUAGCCCCAGGUACACCCUGCUCAUUUCCUAGUUGACACCUGAAAGUCUGAGGAGUGAUGAGGAUGUGUUCAAGGAGACUCCAGCUUGUAGAUACAAGAGAGAGAAUGCAGCUUCUCUUCCUUGACUGCCAGCAAAGCCUCCUGUCAGUGUUGUCUACAGCCUGCCAGGGAUGUGGGUGAGAAGUCUUGAGAGGAUAAGGCUGGUGGAGUCUCCAUGCAGAUUUGCUGACUAAGAGUGAACCCUGACGCAUUCUGGAUUCAGUGGUGCUUAGAGGGAGAGAUAGGCUGGCUGUGGAGGGGUGAGAGGGACAGGUUGGGGAGGGAGUGGAAGUAGGGAGAGGCUGCUGAUUUUGAAGUUGGUAAAUCAUGGGAUCCUGCUGUGUCGUCCAAGUAUGUGCGUGUGUGUGUGUGUGUGUGUGUGUGUGUGUGUGUGUGUGUGUGUGUGUAAGAUCUGCCCCUACGCUCUUUCUUCCUGAGGAUGAAAUGGUUCUUGUACCUGUGUGAGCAGACAUGUUCCAUUGCUGAAGCUCCUAGGGUGCAAGGCUAUCUCAACCAGAGACUGCUGUGAAUAUUCCUAAAAAUAAACAGCUCCUGAAGCAUGUGAAAUAAGUUAGACUCUUUUGGAGCUAAUGGGCCCCACUUGGCAAAGCCAUGCAGGUAAAGGUACUUGAAGCAGGGGUAUGCAGAUUGCUUUCUGCAGGACUUCUCCUCACCUUUAGCUUCUGCAUCAUCAAACUCCAUCUCCAGUCAUGUGUCUUAGGAUUAUCAUUUAUCAAUUCUGAUCUUUUUAAAAAAGAUUUAUUUAUUUAUUUCAUGUAUACGAGUGCUGUAUCUGCAUGUACAACUUUAUGCCAGAAGAGGGUAUCAGAUUCCACUACAGAUGGUUGUGAGCCACCAUGUGGUUGAUGGGAAUUGAACUCAGGACCUCUGGAAGAGCAGCCAUUGAGCCAUUUCUCCAGCCCUAAAGAUUUGUUUGUUUGUUUAUUUAUCUGUUGAGGCAGGGUUUCUCUGUGUAAUAGUCCUAGCUGUCCUGGAACUUGCUUUGAAGAUCAAGCUGGCCUCGAACUGGCAGAGAUCUACUUGCCUCUGACUCCUAAGUGCUGGGAUUAAAGGGUGUGAGCCACCAUCACAUGACAAUUUAUUUAUUUUUAUCUUAUGUGUUUUUCCUUUGUAUAUGAGUGAGAGCAUCGGAUCCUCUGGAAUUGGAGUUACUGAUGGUUAUUAGCUGCCAUUUGAAUGCCGGGAAUCAAACUUGGGUCCCCUGGAAGAGCAGCCAAUGCUCUUAACGUAGAAGGCCAGGAGAAGCCUGCACACUAGCUAUGGGAGCUCUCCUCUGGUGAAAGACAUUUGAGUAAAUGAGGAAAAGGGUCAAAGUUUUGAAGACAGACAAGCCAUAAAAUGUCAGUCUGCAUCCAGAUUAGGACAUGGAAAAUGGGGAUCAUAGAAGACAGUGCUCUCUCUUCAGCUUGGUGGAGUCUUGGGUCUGCCAUGCUGCCAAGUAUUCACUUUGAGUCUGUUUUCAUUUUUCUGCCUUAUUUUAUUUUUUCUAAUUUCUGAAAAUGACUUUGAAGUCAUUUUACAUGGGACUGUUUCAGCAACUUUAUGUUGUCAUUUACAAUGACCAUUGUAAUUUACAAUAGCCCACUCCAUAUUAGAAAUAAAAUCUUUUGAAGACAAAAGCAUGUUUUCUCUCCAAUCCAGGACUAACAGUUUUUUUGUUUGUUUUGUUUUUGUUUUUUUAGAAAAGAUGGAAUGGAAUGUAGGAGAUUUGUGAGAAAGAAGAAUGGGAAGUGGGCUGGAAGUUACAGCCUUUGUGGUCUGGUCCAAACAGAGUAAAGAUGAGAAUUCUACCUAGCCAGGUGCUGGUGACCAUGUUCUCAGGUUCUGUGUAUCAUUUCCUCGUUUGUCAAAUGAGAGGGUUUUUAAGCCAGAUGCCUUUAAGGAUGUGUCCUAGUGACCCACCUCCUCCUCCUGGGUCUCACUUCCCCAAAUUAAUCACACACCCAGCUGCAGCUCAGCUUCUUGCCUCUGGAGUGAGUUGGAUCGCCUCCUCUCAGGGUGAUGGUGUGGAUGCUGGUUAGUGCUGGAGUGAAGUUAGAGGAUGUGGACACCUCUGAAAUUCUGAACACUUUUUGUUGCUUCUCUGUCUGUUUUGAGACAGGGUCUCACAUAGCCUAGGCUGGCCUCAAACUUUGAAUGUAGCUGAGGUUGGCCUUCAACUCCUGAUCCUCAUGUCUCCAUCUCCUAAGCUCCUGGACAACAGGUGAGAGCAGUAAACUGUGCUUCUUAGGAAGCAUCCUAAAUUGCUUCCCAGUGGUUGGGAAACAUCCCAAUGGUUGUCUCAUUCAGCUUACUCUGGGCCUGAGAUUGCUAGGCCAGUUUGCUUUUCUUCUUAGUAGCCCACGUGUGCCUCUGUUGAUGCCACAGGGCAGGAGGUGUGCACAGGGACCCUUUAAAGAGAACCAACCUGACUGCCCACUCACUUUUGUCUUCCUGUCUGCCUCAUGUAUGCUCACCAUUGAGUGAGCGUGGAUGCCACGACCAAGGCCUAUGCAAAAGCUUGUGGAAACUGGGAUGGUGGCUCUGAUAAUGGAAAUGACUACCACAUGACUAAUGGGCAGUAAUCACUAAGAUCACAACUACAUCAUGACAUGCACUGUGGAUACACUGCACUGAAGGAGGAGUGCCAUUCCAAGUGGAGCAUGUAUUUUCAGACUGAAGUUGAGCAGAGUAAUGCAAAACUCUGAAAAAUCUGAAAAGUGAAGUUACAGAAGAAGGAAGUGCUUCGAUUUGGACUUCAAAGUCUACCCAAAGUUCCUGCCUCUGUCCAUUGGGACAUAGCUCCUGAGUCACCUCCCCUGGGAAGCCUGCCCAGCUGAGAAAGGAGGAAAGGAGUGAGUGAGGAGUCAGAGGGGACCAUGGGGACAACAAGACCAUGCUGCAAGAAAAUGAAAGAAAAAACCUACUGUGUACAUAUACCACAUUGUAGGGAGAGACCUCUACACUCUCUCACCGGGUUCCAGUCAGGUCUCAGACUGCUGCUGAGACUGAAUUCUCGGAGUGCCGAUCCGGUCAUUGGUUCCUUGUUUGUGAACCUUCCUAUCAACUGUAAAGCAGGAGAGCUAAUCUUACCUGCCUCCAUCUCAAGGACAUCGCCUUUGGGUUUCUCCUGAAUUCCCACCCAUUUUUCUUCUGCCAACUGCUUUCUAUUGUUAGUUGUGUGCCAGGAUUCACUCAGGAGAGGAGAACCAGCAAUGGCCUCCCUUUAAUUAAGAACCUGUGGUGUAAAAAGUCUCAGCCACUGGGUGGCGCUGUGGGAAGACAGUUGCCCUGGUAAAAGACUGAAUACUCAGCAUUUAGGUUUGAAGAGGUGUAGACGGCAGGGUUGGCAUAGGGGCAUGUGUCAUUCAUCCUACUGUGUGCUUUCAGGGUUAUUCAACCUGCUAAUUUGGGCAGUCUGCUCUGAGGUCAGAUGUCCCAUGAAUCUUAAAGAGAUCACUUGGAUUGAAGGAAACAGGGAAAGCCAGAUGGACCUGACAAGGGUCUCCAUCUGUCACUUUCUGCAAGCUCCUCAGUUGUCCCAGUCUGUCUGUCUUGGAGGGGACUUUUCUCCUCACCAUGUGUAACCUGCAAUUUCCUCCAAGGCCCCUGUCUUCUGUGAACUGAGUUUUGAACACUUUUCUAUGACUGUGCAAGAGAUGUUCUGUUUAAAUGUCAUGAGCUAGAAAAAUAACUGAGUCUUGCUUCCUCAUCUCUAAGCUGCAAGACCUUAGUGUGGGCUCUCAGUCUCUUUGCAUAUCUAUGAGUAGAGAAAAUAAGAAGAUAAAGUCCUCGGUCAAAUACCAUUAUAAGUAUUAAAAGAUCACUGGUAGUAAGGUGUCCUGUGAACUGUAAAAUAUAACUCCAAUGGCAGGCAGUGUCAGAAACCCCCAGGAAGCAGAUACCCAUUCUUUGUCUUUUUAUCCCAGGCCUGACACCACACUCUCACUAUGGCAGAUGAGUGAACAACAGGUGUGUGCGCUAUAUAGCCCCCAUGCAGCAGGGAACACACUGGAUGUAGGUCUGGCAAAUUGAUGGCUUCAAAGGAUGAGUCUGGGGGAGAGAGCCGCAGAAGCAGACCCUUAAGAAGAAUCCAGGGUUUGUGCCCUAUCUGCUAGGAAAGCAUCUAGCACAUCCCCAGCCAGCUGGCUCCUGGUUAGCCUGACUGUGCUCUGCUCAGGCCAUCUCAGGCCGCAAUGACUUCUCUCAGAGCAGGUGGACCUAGAGUUUUGUCAUUCAUCACGGGUGCUCUGUUGACCGGCCUGGAAUGUCCUCCUUCUCAUGCCCACUUUGGAGGCCUUAGUCCCUGGUGAUGGUAAACACACUAGACGCAGGGCCUGACACUGAGAUGCCCUGGAUCUGAGCGAGCUGGGGCUGACUGACCUGACCUGUCUCCCAUGGUUAACAAAUACAAACAGAAACAGCACAGGUAAAUAAAUACAGGCCAGUUUGGAGCAAAGCCACAUUGGAGCCUUUUUUUUCCUGACCUAGUUAUUUGUUUGUUUGGAACAUCAUUACUUGGGAAUUGUCACUGUUUCACGUGGUGCUUAUGAAUCUGGUAGGAGAAUCUAAUAAUAAGUUUAUUAUGUAAACAGUAGUAGCAGGCAGCUACUAUUUAGUCAAUGCUUGCCACUCAGUUACUAUGCACUUCAUGGGUAUUAUCUUAAUUAGUCUCAUUAGAUGACUAUGUCUCCUAUAGGGCUCUCUCAGGCCACCCCCAGGGCAUACUACUUCUGUAGCUAUCUUAUGGGCAGGAAAUUUGAAGUUCAGCCAUUUCCUGGGUCAUAGAACAAGUGACUGGAACUCAAGCCAUCCAUUUGUCCCUCUGUUCAUUGUACAAAUUAUUACUGAGCUUGUGCAAUGAACUAGCUACCAGGGGUUCAUGUAGAGUAAUGCAAAGUCUUUCUCUGUGCAGAUAGGAGGCCAAAUAAGCAAAGGGAACAAGGUAGUACAUGGUAGGAAGUAUAACAGAGAAUAAGGAAGGAAGAGAGGGUGGGGAUGCAACCUUGGACAGGAAGGAACAAAAGGUGGCAUCUUGGGGGGCUAGGUUGCUGAGCUGAGUGGAUCAGAGGGCAGAACCCAACUGCUGAUAAACUGUCCAGUGGGCCAAAUGGUCAGAUCACAAGCCAAUGAAGAUCUCUCUCUCUUUUGCAAACAGUGUUUCUCUGUAUAACCCUAACUGUCCUGUAGACCAGACUGGCCUCAAAUUCAGAAAUCAGCCUGCCUCUGCUUCCCGAGUGCUGGGAUUAAAAGUGUUCACCACCACUGCUGGCCUGCAAUGAAGAUUUAUAUGGAAAUCUUUCAUCUUUCUCAGGGUUCAUCUUCUUUUCUUGGGUUAUGCAUUUUCAGAAUAGGAAAUAGAAUAAUAAUUUAGGGAGGAUAUAAAAUAAAUUCAUCUCCUUUUCUCCAUUCGUAGAUUCUUCCAUCUAUCCAUCCAUUCACCCAUCUACCCACCCACCC
ensembl:lncRNA